CCCUUGACAUGUCUGGAAUGCCGAAGAGAUUUGGCAGUGCUCGCAAGAGAACCGGAACACAGGUGCUGCAUGGCUGUCGUCAGCUCGUGUCGUGAGAUGUUGGGUUAAGUCCCGCAACGAGCGCAACCCUUGUCAUUAGUUGCUACGAAAGGGCACUCUAAUGAGACUGCCGGUGACAAACCGGAGGAAGGUGGGGAUGACGUCAAGUCCUCAUGGCCCUUAUGGGUAGGGCUUCACACGUCAUACAAUGGUCGGGACAGAGGGUCGCCAACCCGCGAGGGGGAGCCAAUCCCAGAAACCCGAUCGUAGUCCGGAUUGCAGGCUGCAACUCGCCUGCAUGAAGUCGGAAUCGCUAGUAAUCGCGGAUCAGCAUGUCGCGGUGAAUACGUUCCCGGGUCUUGUACACACCGCCCGUCACACCAUGGGAGUGGGUUUUACCAGAAGUAGUUAGCCUAACCGCAAGGAGGGCGAUUACCACGGUAGGAUUCAUGACUGGGGUGAAGUCGUAACAAGGUAAGCGUAGCGAG
rnacentral:rRNA from 1 species